rnacentral:rRNA from 1 species
GAUGAACGCUGGCGGCGUGCCUAAUACAUGCAAGUCGAGCGAACGGACGAGAAGCUUGCUUCUCUGAUGUUAGCGGCGGACGGGUGAGUAACACGUGGAUAACCUACCUAUAAGACUGGGAUAACUUCGGGAAACCGUAGCUAAUACCGGAUAAUAUUUUGAACCGCAUGGUUCAAAAGUGAAAGACGGUCUUGCUGUCACUUAUAGAUGGAUCCGCGCUGCAUUAGCUAGUUGGUAAGGUAACGGCUUACCAAGGCAACGAUGCAUAGCCGACCUGAGAGGGUGCUCGGCCACACUGGAACUGAGACACGGUCCAGACUCCUACGGGAGGCAGCAGUAGGGAAUCUUCCGCAAAGGGCGAAAGCCUGACGGAGCAACGCCGCGUGAGUGAUGACGGUCUUCGGAUCGUAAAACUCUGUUAUUAGGGAAGAACAUAUGUGUAAGUAACUGUGCACAUCUUGACGGUACCUAAUCAGAAAGCCACGGCUAACUACGUG